GAUCAGUAACCAGACAACCCCAGGCCCAGGCCCAGCCGUACCUCCACUUCCAACCCCACGGCAGCUCCAUGGCGAGGGACGAACCCUCCGCCGCCGCCGUGGACGUCGCCGACGGCGACUCACCCUCCUCCAGCCCAACCCUCACGCGCCUACGGGAAGCACUCGCCGCCCUCUCCAAGGCGUUCGAGUCCGGCGACACCGCCUCCUCCGACGCAGCCGCUGCCCUGGUCGCCGAGAUUCUCAGCCCGUCUGAUGCUGACGCGUCCGCCGCGCUCUCCGAACAGAUGCUCCGCGAGGUCCACGCGUUCCUCUCGCGCCCGUCCUCGAAUCAGAUGGCCAUAGACGCGCUGUCUCUGGAGCUUCCCAAGCCUGUGGCGAAGCUGGGUGCUCGGAUGGGGAAUUGCCGGGACAUUGCCAGGACUAUCAUUGAGUUCUUUGUGUCAAAUUGCAGCCCAAGGGACAUGCUCUGCAUCCUCUGCGAGGCAUUAGAUACACCAGUGGCAUUAAAUGGAUCAGCAUACCUUGUUAUUCUACUAGAUGGGCUUGCCAGCACGCUUAUUUUGAUUCAGAGGAGACACAUUGAGCAAGUAAAGGUCGUACUUCCUGCCAUCCUUCGAGUUAUGCACGCUAAUUUAUCAGAAUGUGAUGGGGAACAUGGAAUGUCUGCUGUUGAUCUGUUCAGUGCAGCCCUCAGAAUAGGCAAUGCUAUACAAGAAAUGUGCAAAACAAUGGUCAACCACAGGAAGGAAGAGCUAUGUUCUAUACUUGGUCUAUACGCCCUUCAAAACAUAGCUCUUUUGCAGGCUCUUGUAUCAUCAGAAAGCAAACAUCAGAAUAUUCAGUCUACUUGUGGUUCAGUUGUUCUUCAAUAUUCUAAACUUCUUAUGUUUUGCGGGUUCACCUAUUUGGGUCUUUUAACUGGUAAUGAUGUGACCUCAGCCACCACUAAGCUUUCUAAAGAAGAGGACGACAAUUUUCUGGACUGCUUUUCUUUUGCUAUGGACGGUGCAAGUCUUGUAGUUGUGUGGACCUCUAUGCAUGAUGAUAUGUCAAAAUAUGCUGGAGCAGAGUUUGAAUCAGCACUGAAAGAAGUUCAAGACAAUUGUAUUAGGAAAUGGGAAGCAAUCAACAUGUUUAGAUAUGUCUUAUCUUCAGUUAAUUACUCAUGGGCAAUCAAAUCUCACAGUCUGGACUUAUUGUUAACUUUAGUUGAUGAUAAGUGUAGUGAGGAAACCAACGAUCAUGUAGAUUUCCCAUGUUCCACUCAAAUUUUUGCCAUACUCAAGGCCAUUGAAAGAGUCAUGAUAGCUGCCCCAGAUACGUUGAUGCGGAAGAAAGCCUUUUCUGCCCUGAAAAGGGUUAUUUCAGUGGUGCCAUCCACUCAGAGAUUUGAUAUCUUACAGGCCCUCAUCGAGAAUAGUAUGUUCCCCUCCUUGACUGCAAUUCUUUUAGAUCUGGUGAAGAAUGAAGUUUUGAGAGAGAGCCGUCGAGCUGAUCAGGUUAAUGGAUCUGAUCGAUCACAAGAUUCUGGGGAAUCACCACCCUGGGCUUCUCAGGUGCUUGAGUUAGUGGAGCUGAUCUUGAGGCCUCCAGAAGGUGGUCCUCCUUGUCUUCGUGAUCAUAGUGAAGAGGGCUGAAGCCGCACCGCCAACAACUUAGAGAAGCUAUGUACUAAGCUGAUCGCUCGGUAUCUCCUAUCUCCCUGGUGUCAGUUCUUGGAGAUCUGGGAGAUGAGAGCUAGAUUUAGUUCUCCUCACACUGGCUACUAUGUGUAGAAGUUUGGUGUUCACAUUUCCUUCCUGUAGCCACUGCAAUCUAGAACACUGUCGGGCAAUCGUGCGUUCCAGCGAAGACAAGCUGAGAAUGAAAGCUUCAAGGAUCUUCUCAACCAUAUUUCCGUCGGGGACUGAAGCCUUGAGUCCUAAGCAGCAUCUAAACGCAUAAUCACUGCAUCGGCAAUCGCUUGCCGCAUUCCUGAAAAGAAUGAUCCAGAAUGCUUUAAGGGGUCAGCGAUCGCUGGACUGCACUUCCACGCCUCCUUGAUAGCCUCCUUAAAUCCUUCCAGCUUGGCCCAGAAUUCACAUCGCUCCUAGGGGAAAAGCCACAUUUAUUAGAGGGAGAUGAAAAGGAAAAUGAUCGGAGAUAGCAGUUGAUAGCACCUGUAGUAGGCAGUCAGGAUAAAACAGUUCCCAGUCCACUGUCUAUGAUGAUAUUUUGAGCAUCAACGUCAUUUCUCCAAGCAUGUGUUUUCUAAGUGCUGGUGUUAUCUGCUCUGAACUUGCUCAGAUUGAUUCUGAUAAUAGAUUCAAGAGGAUCCAGAUCAGCAAAAAUGUUGCGGGACGAAAAAAUACGAGCCGUGUACUCAGAGUGGCUGCUCCCACUAAGAUCAGUUGUUACAGGGAAUCAAUCGGAACUCGAGAAAGACGGCGGUGACGACGACGAAAAUCA